CCAAGGGCUCAUAGAGCCCUCAAUAAUGACUGAUUAUUGAGUCAUUAUUGAGUCAUAUAAUGUAUAUGAGGAUUCUCUUUACCUUGCUCUUGUACCCAAACAGAAGUAUAGAGAAUGAAUGAAGAGCAGCAUCAACUCCACAUGCGACCUAAUGCCAAUCACUGCUUAUCAAGCUCAGGAGAUUGUUUGGCUGACCACAUCAUUUAAGGUCUGAAGAUGAAUUCUGAGAACUCAUAGCAAUGGAUAUCCUGAAUUGCUCUUACCAGUCAUGGACAGCAAUCCCCUCAGAAAAAAUUAAAAGGAGCCAAUGCACUGAGCUUCAAGGAUGGCAAGCAGGAUCGGACAAAGGCUAGUCCCUGAACCAAGACUUACAACUCUGGGACCAUGGCCCUGAGACCACGACAUGAGCUGAAAUCGAGAGUCGGACACUCAACUAACUGAGCCAACCAGGUGCCAUUGUAACAAGUUUUGAAAGGCUCAAAGAAAUGUCAACAAACUUCCAAAUGAGAUUGGCCUAUACAAGAUUUUUCAUAACAGCAGCACUAUUCGCAUUUGGUGCCAGCUAAUCUUUGUUGUGGGGGAAUACCUGUGCACUGUUGUAUAUUUAGUAGCCUGCCUCUAACACAAGAUGCCAGGAGCAGCCCUCUCAUCAACCGUAACAACAAAAAAUGUCUCUAAACAUUGGCGAAUUGUCUGGGAAAAGGAAACAAAGUCAGCUCCCGAUGAGAACUACUGAUCAAUACAGAUAUAUCCCUCAUUCCUUGAAAGAGCAAAACAUCGUUCAAAGAAACAAAAAACCCACA